rnacentral:rRNA from 1 species
AUUGAACGCUGGCGGAAUGCUUUACACAUGCAAGUCGAACGGCGGCACGGACUUCGGUCUGGUGGCGAGUGGCGAACGGGUGAGUAAUAUAUCGGAACGUGCCCAGUCGUGGGGGAUAACGUAGCGAAAGCUACGCUAAUACCGCAUACGAUCUACGGAUGAAAGCGGGGGAUCGCAAGACCUCGCGCGAUUGGAGCGGCCGAUAUCAGAUUAGGUAGUUGGUGAGGUAAAGGCUCACCAAGCCGACGAUCUGUAGCUGGUCUGAGAGGACGACCAGCCACACUGGGACUGAGACACGGCCCAGACUCCUACGGGAGGCAGCAGUGGGGAAUUUUGGACAAUGGACGCAAGUCUGAUCCAGCCAUUCCGCGUGCAGGACGAAGGCCUUCGGGUUGUAAACUGCUUUUGUACAGAACGAAAAGGUCUCUAUUAAUACUAGGGGCUCAUGACGGUACUGUAAGAAUAAGCACCGGCUAACUACGUGCCAGCAGCAGCCGCCG